rnacentral:ncRNA from 1 species
AGCGAGACCACAACCGGUUCUCCGGACGAGGGUUGCCGUACCCGGCCAUGACAAGACGGCAUCGA